AAGAAUCUGCCUCUUCUUUCUUCUCUCUCUCUCUCUCUCUCUCUCUCUCUCUCUCUCUCUCUCUUCCAACAAAUCUGACAAUUUCUUUCGCCACCAAGUUGCCAUUCCUCACGACAACCACCACUACGAUCAUCCAUCUCCACAGCCGUCACUGCACCCCACUGACCUACAAACUCACCCUCAUCGACAGAUCUGGAAAUUAGCAAGAACAGACAAAGGUAUGUCUUUAAAUCGUCUAUGUUAUUAUGUGUGUAUGUGUGUUUAACUGUGUGCGCAUGUGUUUUAACUAUGUGUGUAUGUCAAUUUCAUGGGUAUGAAUUUAGAUCUUGAAACCAACAUUAUCGAUUUUUUAUUUAUAAUUUGAUUGGAUUUAAUUUUGAUUUUCCAGGUUCGGAUUCUUCUCAUUACAUUAUGUUCUUAAACUUAGAGCAAGGAAUUUGGUGGUUAUUUUUCUUCUCAAUGCAGCUAAUUCAACUUUAUGCAUUCAAUUGAGGCUGUUGCUACACUCAAGUUUCUUUCCAUGUUUGUUAUAUACUUUUAAAUAAAAGAUGUUGUUAGCCUAUAUUGAUUAUUUAGUUUAGUAGUUACUUUAUGUUUUAGAUUGUAUCAUGUAUGGAACUUCAAGAUGAAACUCCUAAGAAAAAAAUAAAUAAAUAAGAAGGCAGAAAAAACCCAAGAGGGUGAAUCGUACAAGGUUAAAUGAAAAAAUAGCAAGGUUUGAAAUUACAUAUAACAUCAAGAUCUCUUUUUACCUAAAUCUAACUAUAACAUACAUAGGGUUUGUUAAUGAUUGUGUUAAUGACAUUUAAUAGGUUUGAAAUUGCAUUCUGGUUAUUAUAUCACUGCAUGUAAUCUUGCUUAUUAAGAGGUAAAUGUUGAUACCUCACAAGCACAAGUGUUUUUUUCAUUAUUUAACUUUUCAAGUAAAAAGUCCCGCACAUUGACUAUUUGACAUAUUCAAUGUCGAUUCAUGACAUACUUCAUCUUUUUUUUUUUUUUUUGCUUUUGCUUUAAUGAAGUUGAUGCAAGUUUAUGGUGCAUUGAUGCAAUCACUCAGACACAAGGUUGUAGAAAGAUAUUUCAUUAAGUAUUUGAAUAUGUUCUUUUUAAAUGUCUUCACUGAAAAAAAAAGGUUAGAGGACUACUAAAUUGAUUUAUGCUUCCUAAGAUAUAUACAUGUUUGAUUUUUUUUUUUAGAUUUAGAUUUUUGUUUUGUAUUUUAAUAUUCCAAUGCAUACACUUAAGGUUUGUUGUAGAUUUUUAAGAGUUCGUAUAAAUUUGAAAGGGUUCUGGAAUGGGUUUGGUGGAAAGGGCAUUUUGGUAAAAAAAUAAGGAAAGAAAGAAAUGUAUAUUGGGGUUUCAAAAUUUGUUUUGGGCAUGGCUCAAGUCUUAUUGUUUGAUGCAUGAUGUAUUUAAAGUUAUUAUGCUUGCAUUGUUUGAUGCAGGACGAAGUUAAUCAAACAAAGAUUUAGAAAUAUUUAUUCAAAUUGACGAGUCUACCCUUGAGGCCGAUGGAGUUAUUUACACAAAUAAAGAUGGUGAGGUUUUCAAAAAUAGCAUGCUAUAUUAAGUUAAAAGAACGUACAAUUAUUUUAAUAGGAAAAAAAUGAAAAUAUGCUCCUACAAUAAUAACAAGAUGUUAUUUCUUGCCUUUUGUCUUAUCAAAAUUGAAUUGCUUUUCGGAUCCGGACAAACUGAUAUAGUAUUAUAGCAUUUAACAAAGUCGGUAAAUAACAUCCUUCUAUGUGUCAACCACACGUUAAAUGCGGAAGUAGCAACGUACUUGCAUUUAUUUUUCAACCAUAGUGUCCUACUUUCUUUGUGAAAUAGUGGAACUGCUGAAAAUGCAAAUUUAUAUACAAGCAUUUAUUACAUGUGUUAAGUUAGCAUUGUAACUUCAUAUUCUAAUUUUGAAUUAUAACAUCCUAUUUUCAUAUGUUUUCUGUUAAAGCGUUUGUAUUUUUAGUAAAUAUUUUUUUAAAGAAUUGUACUUUGGAAAACAAAUCCUGUCAAACAUUUUUUUUA
rnacentral:lncRNA from 1 species